rnacentral:rRNA from 1 species
UGGGGAAUAUUGGACAAUGGGCGCAAGCCUGAUCCAGCCAUGCCGCGUGAGUGAUGAAGGACCUAGGGUUGUAAAGCUCUUUCACCGGUGAAGAUAAUGACGGUAACCGGAGAAGAAGCCCCGGCUAACUUCGUGCCAGCAGCCGCGGUAAUACGAAGGGGGCUAGCGUUGUUCGGAAUUACUGGGCGUAAAGCGCACGUAGGCGGGGAUUUAAGUCAGGGGUGAAAUCCCGGAGCUCAACUCCGGAACUGCCUUUGAUACUGGGUACCUAGAGUAUGGAAGAGGUGAGUGGAAUUCCGGGUGUGGAGGUGAAAUUCGUAGAUAUUCUGAGGAGCACCAGUGACGAAGGCGGCUCGCUGGUCCAUUACUGGCGCUGAGGUGCGAAGGCGUGGGGGGCAGACA